GUUGCAAUGAUGAGAUUAAACACUUGGACGUGUUUUGGGCAGUGGACGAGGCCUCUUUAGGGGUUCUUGCCGUGAGCUCAUCUAACAAAACGACUUCUCCUUCCACUGAGCUCC